rnacentral:lncRNA from 1 species
UUUUUUUUUUUUUUAAGGAUUUUUAUUUUAUUUAUUUAUUCAUGAGAAUACACAGGAGAGAGAGAGAGAGAGGCAGAGAUACAGGCAGAGGGAGAAGCAGGCUCCAGGCAGGGAGCCCGACGUGGGACUCGAUCCCGGGUCUCCAGGAUCAGGCCCUGGGCUGAAGGCGGCGCUAAACCACUGAGCCACCUGGGCUGCCCAUUUUUCCUAUUUUAUAGAGGAAACAAGUUUUAAGAGAGGUUAAAUAACUUGUUGAAAAUAACCCAGCUAAUAAGUGGCAGAGCAGAAUUUAGAGCCAGAAGGACCAAUAUCAAAACUACUAAGCUUAGUAAUAUUCCAAAUAUUCUUAGUGUCCUUAUGUGCUAGAGAAUUUUUUUUUAUUUUUUUUAAUUUUUAUUUAUUUAUGAUAGUCACAGAGAGGCAGAGAGAGAAUUUUCAUUAAUGAAUACAAACCCAAAUACAGAAAGCCCAGAUCAUUACAUAUUUCUGUAACUUUGUACAUUUAUUUUCCUAUUUGCUCUAACUGCUUCCUAGCUUGCUACAUUGAAACACCUUUGCCAUUUUUCUGUUGGCUCACCACCAUCCUUCGUUCAUUCAGCAGUUAUUUGUUUAGAGCUGACUGUACCAGGUACUUAGUGAACAAGACAGAUAGGUCCCUGACCUCCUGGAGCUUAUAUUCUAACAGGAAGCAUUUAAUGAAAUAAUUACACAUUAUAAGAACUAUGGAGACAAACAGGCUAAGGUAGAAAAUAAGGAAGGUUCUAUUUUGAGGGAGGGAAUGGCAUCUCAGCAGAAACCUGAAUGUUGGGGAGGAACCAGAGAGGCAAAGAUGGGAGGGAAAAGCAGUUGAGAUAGAAGACAAAACUUAAUGCAGAGAUUAUAAGGUGGGCAAGAGCUUGGCAUGUUUGAGAACACAAAGCUGUAUAGCUAGGUUGUGGUGAGCAAAGGAGAAUGUGGCAUGAAAUGAAUCUGAAGACAAAGGAAGAGCUUAUAUGUGGAGAAUUUUGCAUUUUAAAUUAGGGGAUGGCGUAGGACCCAGAAAUCUGUGAUUUUAAUAGCUUCAGGAUUCUGGCAGUUAACUUACAUAUGGGAACCACUGGAAUAAACCACCUCAUCUGUUAAGGAAAUGAAACAAUUAUUGUUCCAUGCAGCUCAUUCCUCCUUUAUACGGGGCCCAUUUAUCUCCCAAUCUCUUCUAUGUCUUCUUCCACAUAGAUAAACAAUGUAAAGUUGUAGAAAAUACUGAUUAUUCUUAUUUCAAAGACAUAACACAAGGUGAUUUCCUUUUUCUUCUGGUUACAGAAAGCUGAAAUAACAGAAAAUAAAGACUUCUUUAUUAAAGUUCUAAAAAUUAUUCUCCACUAUAUUCAUUUUAGACUAACUCUGAAGCAAAGCUUACUCGGUGUUCAGCUAUGUAACACACUGUGUUAGUUAUGUGCCUUCAAUGAACCAUUCAUUUUGAAGUACUGCAUACCUUCUGGAAGUACAAGAAAUGAAUUUCAAAUUUUCAUUUGGAUUCCUGAAGAAGUCUUGUAUAAUAUAGUGUUGGAGAUCCAUGCUCUCUUCUUGCCUACUCACCCAAAGUAAGUGAUAUAACCCAUUCCUAACUAAUCAACAUUAUUGUAUCUUUCAUCAUUCCUCAGUGUACAUCCUAAACCUCCACGAUCAUCAAUCUUUUCUACCCCCACCUUCUGCAAAUUGUGGCUUCCCUGUUUUUAGUGUCUCCAACACAAUAUUCCUUAACUGCAAUAUUUUAUUUUCAUUUCA